rnacentral:rRNA from 1 species
UACGUAGGGUGCAAGCGUUGUCCGGAAUUAUUGGGCGUAAAGCGCACGUAGGCGGUUUGUUAUGUCGGAUGUGAAAGCCCUUGGCUCAACUGAGGAAGUGCAUCCGAAACUGGCAAGCUAGAGUAUGUAAGAGGGUCGCGGAAUUCCCGGUGUAGAGGUGAAAUUCGUAGAUAUCGGGAGGAACACCGGUGGCGAAGGCGGCGACCUGGGUAGAUACUGACGCUGAGGUGCGAAAGCGUGGGGAGCAAACAGG